rnacentral:rRNA from 1 species
CGAAGGAUGCAAGCGUUAUCCGGAUUCAUGGGUUUAAAGGGUGCGUAGGCGGACCUGUAAGUCAGUGGUGAAAUCUCUUUGCUUAACAAAGAAACUGCCAUUGAUACUGCAAGUCUAGAGUAUAGAUGACGUUGGCGGAAUAUGACAUGUAGUGGUGAAAUACUUAGAUAUGUCAUAGAACACCGAUUGCGAAGGCAGCUAACGAAACUAUAACUGACGCUGAGGCACGAAAGUGCGGGGAUCAAACAGGAUUAGAUACCCUGGUAGUCCGCACCGUAAACGAUGAUUACUCGUUGUUGGCAAUAUGACCGUCAGCGACCAAGCGAAAGCGAUAAGUAAUCCACCUGGGGAGUACGCCGGCAACGGUG